rnacentral:snRNA from 1 species
AGAUGUGAGCGCAAUCUAGUUGUGACAUCUGUUACCCCGUUGGUCGCCAGGGUUGAUGUGGCUGAUCUGGCUGGCUAAGCAACUGUCCCUUCCUCCCUUACUGUUCCUAUGCAUCCCUCCCGAAUAGAGNAGGGCAGGCCUUUGGUUAAAGGUAUACAAUUAGCUGUGCUCCUCUGCUAAAANAACAUAAAUUCAUUCCUGUAUACUUCUGGAGGUCAGAAAACUUAAAUUAAUUUUAUGUCACUAAUGUAAAAAUGUAGGAAUGUGUGCUCAU